rnacentral:tRNA from 3 species
GCCGGCGUAGCUCAGCUGGUAGAGCAACGCACUCGUAAUGCGUAGGUCGGUGGUUCGAGUCCACUCGCCGGCACCA